CGAGGGGCUGGCCCGGGCGGGGGCCUUGCGAACCCGGUCAGGUCCGGAAGGAAGCAGCCGUAGCAAUCCGUCUCCGGGUCGGUGUCCAGCCUCUCGCUU
rnacentral:SRP_RNA from 1 species